GACGAACGCUGGCGGCGUGCCUAAUACAUGCAAGUAGAACGCUGAAGGAGGAGCUUGCUCUUCUGGAUGAGUUGCGAACGGGUGAGUAACGCGUAGGUAACCUGCCUGGUAGCGGGGGAUAACUAUUGGAAACGAUAGCUAAUACCGCAUAAUAGUAGAUGUUGCAUGAUAUUUACUUAAAAGGUGCAAUUGCACCACUACCAGAUGGACCUGCGUUGUAUUAGCUAGUUGGUGGGGUAACGGCUCACCAAGGCGACGAUACAUAGCCGACCUGAGAGGGGGAUCGGCCACACUGGGACUGAGACACGGCCCAGACUCCUACGGGAGGCAGCAGUAGGGGAUCUUCGGCAAUGGACGAAAGUCUGACCGAGCAACGCCGCGUGAGUGAAGAAGGUUUUCGGAUCGUAAAGCUCUGUUGUAAGAGAAGAACGAGUGUGAGAGUGGAAAGUUCACACUGUGACGGUAUCUUACCAGAAAGGGACGGCUAACUACGUG
rnacentral:rRNA from 1 species